AUUUGCUAGUUCGUUGUCGUGUGUGAAACAUGUGGUGUGCAUCUGACGGGCGAAAUAUUGGACACAUCAGGCAGCAAUGGGAAUAUCACAAGUUGUGAACAAGACAUGGUGCCUUGGCCCUUGUUCUCUCAUCUCCAUGCCAGAUGGCCAUUAAGAAGGAUCAUAGAUGUGUGGCAAUAUCAUUCCUCCAUAUUCCACUAUUGUAUUAUUCAUUGCCAUUAUUUUCAUCUCAUACCAUGAACGCAAGAAGAAUUUAUUUGCUUGCUAUCAUGGACGGUAACUUGUGUCCUUAAAAAUCCUGAGCACUGAGAAAAGAUUGUUGCUGAUGUAGAAUUUUGUAAUGGUGGACCCCACAGUCCAUGACAGAAACAAGUAGGACAGAAAAUUCCAUCUUCUUCGAAAAGAAAAGGGGAGGUUUGCAUUUUAAGG